AAAAGUAUGGCAGUCACAAGAGAAUAAAAUCAUUUAAAACUAUUCUGUGAAAAAUCAUUCGCUUACGGCGCGUUGUGCUGACACGGUGAUCAGCCGAGCAUCAAGCACCGGGCACAGGGCGCUACCUGUCCCAAAAACAAAGGGGCCCAAGGCACACGUUGGCCUUAAAUAAUGUAACAUGUAACUCACGACCGGCACCACGGUCCAGCAAAUGAAUUCCGAUUGGU
rnacentral:lncRNA from 1 species